rnacentral:rRNA from 1 species
CAAAACACCUGGUCCCAUCCCGAACCCAGCCGUUAAGUGCCGUAGCGCCGAUGGUACUGCGUCUUAAGACGUGGGAGAGUAGGUCAUCGCCAAAC